rnacentral:rRNA from 1 species
GACGAACGCUGGCGGCGUGCUUAACACAUGCAAGUCGAACGGAAAGGCCCUGCUUUUGUGGGGUGCUCGAGUGGCGAACGGGUGAGUAACACGUGAGUAACCUGCCCUUGACUUUGGGAUAACUUCAGGAAACUGGGGCUAAUACCGGAUAGGAGCUCCUGCUGCAUGGUGGGGGUUGGAAAGUUUCGGCGGUUGGGGAUGGACUCGCGACUUCUCAGCUUGUUGGUGGGGUAGUGGCUUACCAAGGCUUUGACGGGUAGCCGGCCUGAGAGGGUGACCGGCCACAUUGGGACUGAGAUACGGCCCAGACUCCUACGGGAGGCAGCAGUGGGGAAUAUUGCACAAUGGGCGGAAGCCUGAUGCAGCAACGCCGCGUGCGGGAUGACGGCCUUCGGGUUGUAAACCGCUUUCGCCUGUGACGAAGCGUGAGUGACGGUAAUGGGUAAAGAAGCACCGGCUAACUACGUG